AACGGCGCUGGCCCCGCCCCUUCUCGAGAACUCGCAGAGCUGGGCUGGUAAAAUUGCAGUGCUGAGGACACUGGACCCGCAAAAGGCUGUCCCUCCCAAACCUGGGAUUCUGGGCUCACUGAGUUCACCUGCGAGUCAGCCCUACCUGCUCUGCUCUGGUCUAGUACAAACAGGCUGCUGGCAUUGAGGGACGGAGUCUCCAACUCCUGGCCUCUAGCAGUCCUCCUGUGUAGGUCUCCCAAAGUGCUAGUGUGUCCGGAAUUGGUGGGUUCUUGGUCUCACUGACUUCAAGAAUGAAGCCGCGGACCCUCGCAGUGAGUGUUACAGUUCUUAAAGGCAGCGUGUCCGGAGUUUGUUCCUUCUGAUGUUCAGAUGUGUUCGGAGUUUCUUCCUUCUGGUGGGUUCGUGGUCUUGCUGGCUCAGGAGUGAAGCUGCAGACCUUCACAGUGAGUAUUACAGCUCAUAAAGGCAGUGUGGACCCGAACAGUGAGCAGCAGCAAGAUUCAUUGUAAAGAGGGAAAGAACAAAGCUUCCACCGCGUGGAAGGGGACCCAAGCGGGUUGCCACUACUGGCUUGGGCAGCCUGCUUUUAUUCUCUUAUCUGGUGCCACCCACAUCCUGCUGAUUGGUAGAGCCGAGUGGUCUGUUUUGACAGGGUGCUGAUUGGUGUAUUCACAAUCCCUGAGCUAGACAUAAAGGUUCUCCAAGGCCCCACCAGAGUAGCUAGAUACAGAGUGUUGAUUGGUGCAUUCACAAACCCUGAGCUAGACACAGGGUGCUGAUUGGUGUAUUUACAAUCCCUGAGCUAGACAUGAAGGUUCUCCACCUCCCCACCAGACUCAGGAGCCCAGCUGACUUCACCCAGUGGAUCCCGCACCAGUGCUGCAGGUGGAGCUGCCUGCCAGUCUCGGUGCCAUGCGCCCGCACUCCUCAGCCCUUGGGUGGUUGAUGGGACUGGGUGCCGUGGAGCAGGGGUCGGUGCUCCUCGGGGAGGCUUAGGCCCCACAGGAGCCCACGGCGAAGGGGGGCUCAGGCAUGGCAGGCUGCAGGUCCCCAGCCCUGCCCCACGGGGAGGCAGCUAAGGCCCGGUGAGAAAUCGAGCGCAGCGCUGGUGGGCCGGCACUGCUGGGGGACCCAGUAUACCCUCCGCAGCUGCUGGCCCAGGUGGUAAGCCCCUCAUUGCCCGGGGCCGGCAGGGCCAGCCGGCUGCUCCGUGUGCGGGGCCUGCCAAGCCCACGCCCACCCGGAACUCCAGCUGGCCCGCAAGCUCCGCACUCAGCCCCGGUUCCCGCUCGCACCUCUCCCUCCACACCUCCCUGCAAGCUGAGGGAGCCGACUCUGGCCUUGGCCAGCCCAGAAAGGGGCUCCCACAGUGCAGCGGCGGGCUGAAGGGCUCCUCAAGUGCCGCCAAAGUGGGAGCCCAGGCAGAGGAGGCGCCGAGAGCGAGCAAGGGCUGUGAGGACUGCCAGCACGCUGUCACUUCUCACUAGGAUUAUAAGGGUGAGCCACCACACCCAGCCCU
rnacentral:lncRNA from 1 species